rnacentral:sRNA from 1 species
CACUUCUAUCUGUUUCUCUCACUCACUUUUGGUUUCUCUCUCUCUCUCUCUCUCUCUAACU